GACGAACGCUGGCGGCGUGCUUAACACAUGCAAGUCGAACGGAAAGGCCCUGCUUUUGUGGGGUGCUCGAGUGGCGAACGGGUGAGUAACACGUGAGUAACCUGCCCUUGACUUUGGGAUAACUUCAGGAAACUGGGGCUAAUACCGGAUAGGAGCUCCUGCUGCAUGGUGGGGGUUGGAAAGUUUCGGCGGUUGGGGAUGGACUCGCGGCUUAUCAGCUUGUUGGUGGGGUAGUGGCUUACCAAGGGUUUGACGGGUAGCCGGCCUGAGAGGGUGACCGGGCACAUUGGGACUGCGGGACGGCCCAGACUCCUACGGGCGGCAGCAGUGGGGAACAUUGCACAAUGGGCGGAAGCCUGAUGCAGCAACGCCGCGUGCGGGAUGACGGCCUUCGGGUUGUAAACAGCUUUCGCAUGUGACGAAGCGUGAGUGACGGUAAUGGGUAAAGAAGCACCGGCUAACUACGUG
rnacentral:rRNA from 1 species